UGGCGGACGGGUGAGUAACGCGUGGGGGAACCUGCCCUGUACAGGGGGAUAACACGUUAGAAAUAGGUGCUAAUACCGCAUAAGCGCACAGUAUCGCAUGAUACAGUGUGAAAAACUCCGGUGGUACAGGAUGGACCCGCGUCUGAUUAGCUGGUUGGCGGGGUAACGGCCCACCAAGGCGACGAUCAGUAGCCGGCCUGAGAGGGUGAACGGCCACAUUGGGACUGAGACACGGCCCAAACUCCUACGGAAGGCAGCAG
rnacentral:rRNA from 1 species